rnacentral:rRNA from 1 species
GACGAACGCUGGCGGCGUGCUUAACACAUGCAAGUCGAGCGGUAAGGCCCUUUCGGGGGUACACGAGCGGCGAACGGGUGAGUAACACGUGGGUGACCUGCCCUCAGCUCUGGGAUAAGCCUGGGAAACCGGGUCUAAUACUGGAUAUGACUCCAUGACGCAUGUUGUGGGGUGGAAAGCCUUGUGCGGCUGAGGAUGGGCCCGCGGCCUAUCAGCUUGUUGGUGGGGUGAGGCCUACCAAGGCGACGACGGGUAGCCGGCCUGAGAGGGCGACCGGCCACACUGGGACUGAGACACGGCCCAGACUCCUACGGGAGGCAGCAGUGGGGAAUUUUUCGCAAUGGGGGAAACCCUNACGAAGCAACGCCGCGUGGA